rnacentral:tRNA from 1 species
GGUCGGAAGUUCAAGUCUUCCCAGGCCCACCACACUCAUCGAGUGAGCAUUCGUCUUCUGGUUACGGGGCCAUAGCUCAGCUGGGAGAGCGCGUGCUUUGCAAGCAUGAGGUCGUCGGUUCGAUCCCGUCUGGCUCCACCAGAUGGUUUGAUCACCGACUACUCAUACCGUCGUCCGCGAAACAUCACUUCGCACUUACUAGUCCGGAUGGACAGUAAGCUGCGUGAUUUCUGACAUCGUAAAGAGGAGAUCGAUCCGAGUUGGAUCGGGCAACAAGUAAUUGUUGCGCGAUACUUCAUUAUCUCCGGAUCAUUUCGGCGCUCGUGCGUCUUCCAGGGUAGCUCACAAGGCUGAUUGAAAGACGAGCGAGUUGUAAAUGAUCCUUUUAGCGAAGCUUGACCGCCUCGCUAUCGGAACGAUCUUACGAAGCAAGCUGGUCUUUCUAAUCAUUGUCCGGCUGCAGAUAGCGUUCAUCGAGGGCGCGUACCGCAAGGUAGUUCUGCAGACAACAUUCUGCCGAGUGUGUGGACAUUGAUAAUGAGAGC